rnacentral:rRNA from 1 species
GGGUUGUGAGGUUAAGCGACUAAGCGUACACGGUGGAUGCCCUGGCAGUCAGAGGCGAUGAAGGACGUGCUAAUCUGCGAAAAGCGUCGGUAAGGUGAUAUGAACCGUUAUAACCGGCGAUGUCCGAAUGGGGAAACCCAGUGCAAUUCGUUGCACUAUCGUUAACUGAAUACAUAGGUUAACGAGGCGAACCGGGGGAACUGAAACAUCUAAGUACCCCGAGGAAAAGAAAUCAACCGAGAUUCCCCCAGUAGCGGCGAGCGAACGGGGAGCAGCCCAGAGUCUGAAUCAGCUUGUGUGUUAGUGGAACGGUCUGGAAAGUCCGACGGUACAGGGUGAUAGUCCCGUACACCAAAAUGCACAGGCUGUGAACUCGAAGAGUAGGGCGGGACACGUGGUAUCCUGUCUGAAUAUGGGGGGACCAUCCUCCAAGGCUAAAUACUCCUGACUGACCGAUAGUGAACCAGUACCGUGAGGGAAAGGCGAAAAGAACCCCGGCGAGGGGAGUGAAAAAGAACCUGAAACCGUGUACGUACAAGCAGUGGGAGCACCUUCGGGUGUGACUGCGUACCUUUUGUAUAAUGGGUCAGCGACUUAUAUUCUGUAGCAAGGUUAACCGUAUAGGGGAGCCGCAGGGAAACCGAGUCUUAACUGGGCGUUAAGUUGCAGGGUAUAGACCCGAAACCCGGUGAUCUAGCCAUGGGCAGGUUGAAGGUUGGGUAACACUAACUGGAGGACCGAACCGACUAAUGUUGAAAAAUUAGCGGAUGACUUGUGGCUGGGGGUGAAAGGCCAAUCAAACCGGGAGAUAGCUGGUUCUCCCCGAAAGCUAUUUAGGUAGCGCCUCGUGAACUCAUCUUCGGGGGUAGAGCACUGUUUCGGCUAGGGGGUCAUCCCGACUUACCAACCCGAUGCAAACUACGAAUACCGAAGAAUGUUAUCACGGGAGACACACGGCGGGUGCUAACGUCCGUCGUGAAGAGGGAAACAACCCAGACCGCCAGCUAAGGUCCCAAAGUCAUGGUUAAGUGGGAAACGAUGUGGGAAGGCACAGACAGCCAGGAUGUUGGCUUAGAAGCAGCCAUCAUUUAAAGAAAGCGUAAUAGCUCACUGGUCGAGUCGGCCUGCGCGGAAGAUGUAACGGGGCUAAACCAUGCACCGAAGCUGCGGCAGCGACACUAUGUGUUGUUGGGUAGGGGAGCGUUCUGUAAGCCUGCGAAGGUGUGCUGUGAGGCAUGCUGGAGGUAUCAGAAGUGCGAAUGCUGACAUAAGUAACGAUAAAGCGGGUGAAAAGCCCGCUCGCCGGAAGACCAAGGGUUCCUGUCCAACGUUAAUCGGGGCAGGGUGAGUCGACCCCUAAGGCGAGGCCGAAAGGCGUAGUCGAUGGGAAACAGGUUAAUAUUCCUGUACUUGGUGUUACUGCGAAGGGGGGACGGAGAAGGCUAUGUUAGCCGGGCGACGGUUGUCCCGGUUUAAGCAUGUAGGCUGAUUGUCCAGGCAAAUCCGGAUAAUCAAGGCUGAGGUGUGAUGACGAGGCACUACGGUGCUGAAGUAACAAAUGCCCUGCUUCCAGGAAAAGCCUCUAAGCAUCAGGUAACAUCAAAUCGUACCCCAAACCGACACAGGUGGUCAGGUAGAGAAUACCAAGGCGCUUGAGAGAACUCGGGUGAAGGAACUAGGCAAAAUGGUGCCGUAACUUCGGGAGAAGGCACGCUGGUGUGUAGGUGAAGUCCCUGCGGAUGGAGCUGAGACCAGUCGAAGAUACCAGCUGGCUGCAACUGUUUAUUAAAAACACAGCACUGUGCAAACACGAAAGUGGACGUAUACGGUGUGACGCCUGCCCGGUGCCGGAAGGUUAAUUGAUGGGGUUAUCCGUAAGGAGAAGCUCUUGAUCGAAGCCCCGGUAAACGGCGGCCGUAACUAUAACGGUCCUAAGGUAGCGAAAUUCCUUGUCGGGUAAGUUCCGACCUGCACGAAUGGCGUAAUGAUGGCCAGGCUGUCUCCACCCGAGACUCAGUGAAAUUGAACUCGCUGUGAAGAUGCAGUGUACCCGCGGCAAGACGGAAAGACCCCGUGAACCUUUACUAUAGCUUGACACUGAACAUUGAGCCUUGAUGUGUAGGAUAGGUGGGAGGCUUUGAAGCGUGGACGCCAGUCUGCGUGGAGCCAACCUUGAAAUACCACCCUUUAAUGUUUGAUGUUCUAACGUUGGCCCCUUACCGGGGUUGCGGACAGUGUCUGGUGGGUAGUUUGACUGGGGCGGUCUCCUCCCAAAGCGUAACGGAGGAGCACGAAGGUUAGCUAAUCCUGGUCGGACAUCAGGAGGUUAGUGCAAUGGCAUAAGCUAGCUUGACUGCGAGCGUGACGGCGCGAGCAGGUGCGAAAGCAGGUCAUAGUGAUCCGGUGGUUCUGAAUGGAAGGGCCAUCGCUCAACGGAUAAAAGGUACUCCGGGGAUAACAGGCUGAUACCGCCCAAGAGUUCAUAUCGACGGCGGUGUUUGGCACCUCGAUGUCGGCUCAUCACAUCCUGGGGCUGAAGUAGGUCCCAAGGGUAUGGCUGUUCGCCAUUUAAAGUGGUACGCGAGCUGGGUUUAGAACGUCGUGAGACAGUUCGGUCCCUAUCUGCCGUGGGCGCUGGAGAAUUGAGGGGGGCUGCUCCUAGUACGAGAGGACCGGAGUGGACGCAUCACUGGUGUUCGGGUUGUCAUGCCAAUGGCACUGCCCGGUAGCUAAAUGCGGAAGAGAUAAGUGCUGAAAGCAUCUAAGCACGAAACUUGCCCCGAGAUGAGUUCUCCCUGAGACUUUAAGUCUCCUGAAGGAACGUU